AGUGAACGCUGGCGGUAGGCCUAACACAUGCAAGUCGAACGGCAGCACAGUAAGAGCUUGCUCUUACGGGUGGCGAGUGGCGGACGGGUGAGGAAUACAUCGGAAUCUACUUUUUCGUGGGGGAUAACGUAGGGAAACUUACGCUAACACCGCAUACGACCUACGGUUGAAAGCAGGGGAUCUUCGGACCUUGCGCGAUUGAAUGAGCCGAUGUCGGAUUAGCUAGUUGGCGGGGUAAAGGCCCACCAAGGCGACGAUCCGUAGCUGGUCUGAGAGGAUGAUCAGCCACACUGGAACUGAGACACGGUCCAGACUCCUACGGGAGGCAGCAGUGGGGAAUAUUGGACAAUGGGCGCAAGCCUGAUCCAGCCAUACCGCGUGGGUGAAGAAGGCCUUCGGGUUGUAAAGCCCUUUUGUUGGGAAAGAAAAGCAGCAGGUUAAUACCCCGCUGUUCUGACGGUACCCAAAGAAUAAGCACCGGCUAACUUCGUG
rnacentral:rRNA from 1 species